rnacentral:rRNA from 1 species
UACGUAGGGGGCAAGCGUUGUCCGGAAUCAUUGGGCGUAAAGAGCGUGUAGGCGGCUCGGUAAGUCCGCUGUGAAAGUCCAGGGCUCAACCCUGGAAUGCCGGUGGAAACUGUCGAGCUAGAGUCCGGAAGAGGCGAGUGGAAUUCCUGGUGUAGCGGUGAAAUGCGCAGAUAUCAGGAGGAACACCAAUGGCGAAGGCAGCUCGCUGGGACGGUACUGACGCUGAGACGCGAAAGCGUGGGGAGCGAUCCGG